GUAUAGGUGUGCUAUAAAGGGAAAGCAAGAACACGAAAUAUUAUGAUUCACAUUACUCGCCUUCUCAUGACAACUUCUCAGACUUUCCUUGUUUUUGAUGAUCUUGGCAGUUUUGAGAAGUACCAGUCAGAUGGUCCUGUGAAAACAGAGAGACACCCAGAGAGAAUGCCAGGUGAAGCCAAACGAUUGAAGUGAUGAAUCUACAAGCCAAAGAAUACCAAAGAUUGCCAGCAGACCAUAGCAGCUAGGAAGAGUUAAGAGAGGAUUCCUCUACAGUUUUCAGAGGGAACGUGGCUCUGCCAACAUCUUGAUUUUCGACUUCCAGCCUCAAGAACUGAUGUUAUGUGAAUAAGCACCUUUGCUGUACUUCUGAUCUCAAAGACAAAGCUUUCAAUGUAUCAACAUACAUAAAGAAGUUUGUUUUAGGAUUUUGAAGACAUCUCUUUUUUCAGUGCUCUUUGCUUGGAAAUCCUGGACUGUGCAGAAACAUGAAAAUAUUUGUGGACAACUUCUUCCAACAGUUACCACAUGGGAAAAGACAUGAAACCUUGGAGUGCUACUUGUAUUUAAGGAACAUGUUUCAGUGCUGACACAAAUGAUCCAUAUGGUUCUUAUUCCAUUCUGGAAUAAUAUUUGAAAAAAAGAAUGCAAGAUAUUUGAAUUCAAAUUAGAGAACAUUUCCAAUAAUUUCAUGGUAGUUUCUUAUCCUUUCAAAUGAGUCAUUUGCUGUAUAUAAUGUGCAAUAAACACAAUCAACCCAAA
rnacentral:lncRNA from 1 species